rnacentral:rRNA from 1 species
UACAGAGGUGGCAAGCGUUGUUCGGAAUUACUGGGCGUAAAGGGCGCGUAGGCGGUUCGUUAAGUCCUGUGUGAAAUCCCCCGGCUCAACUGGGGAACUGCACAGGAAACUAGCGGGCUUGAGUUCGGGAGAGGGAAGCGGAAUUCCGGGUGUAGCGGUGAAAUGCGUAGAUAUCAGGAGGAACACCGGUGGCGAAGGCGGCAUCCUGGACCGACAUUGACGCUGAGGCGCGAAAGCCAGGGGAGCAAACGGG